GGACGGCGAGUUCCCUGCCAAGCUGUAAUGUUGGACAUGGGGACUACGGUGCUGAUGGUGUCUGGUGGAGUGCUUGGAGUCCUCAGUGAGCACUAGGAGCAUCGAUUGUCUGAGGCACCUGGUCAGGGUGCCAAGCGGUCCACCACAUUUGGUGGCAGUUGUGGGAUGGCUUCCUAGUGAGUAUAGAAGCAUCCUGGAGACACCGGAAUUGUUAUGGUUAUGGAUUUACA